UAAAAACAGAACAAAAUCAAAAUUUUUUAAAAGUUUAGUCAAGAAAAGGACAUCUAAAUUGUUUAGAUAACUGUAGUGACAUAGACCAGAGAAGGUUUCAAAGGAAAUCACUGUUUGUUCGUAAAGUGCAAAUCCCUUUCCGGGGAAUUAGUAUCAUGAAAAUUAUUACCCAAAAAUCGUAAGUAUAUGCAUGGUUUUGUUCUGAAUAUAUUGCCAAUUAAAAAAACAAAUUAUUUUUUCAGAUGGAGUUGCUUGGAUACAAGGAGAAUCUUACAGAAUACAAAUGAACUUGAAGGCAUCAGUAAUAUUUUCAAAAUAAUAGAGAAAUGACACAAAGAGUGAAAGAGGUAAUUGAAACCUGUCUUUGAUGGGAAUAACACUUAAAAGGAACAUUGUACCUAUCUGCUGGCAGCUUUAAAAAAUAUUAAUGAUUACUGGAAUUGAGAAAUGUCAAUAGUAUGAAACGAGCAAAACUGCUUCCCUAAUGAGAUUUUACAAGGUGAGCAAUUGUUUUGAACAUUUUCUAACCUUGACUUUUCUGUUUAUCUUAAGAAUUUAAAAAACAAAACAAAACAAAAAACUAGUGUUUAAAUAUGAAAAGGAGACUUGUGGCAAAUUCAGAAUAUAAUAAGUGAUCAUUAAAAUAGAAAUGCCUUCUCUAACCAGAAAAAUGAAUAAGGAAAUUAUAACUUACAUUCUUUGUGGAUGUCUUUACAGAGAUAAAGUAGUGAAAUAUUUACUUGAAAUAACAUUCAUCAUCAAUGCUGAAGUUUACAGAAGACAAAAAUAUAUAACUCAUUUCUUCAUAGACAGCCCCAGGACACAUGCAGUGGAUGCAUUGUGUUCUCCUGGGUUGCAUAACUACUUUGAAAGAAGUUUUCUUUUCUGUGUCAUAAAAGAAGACUUUUUGGCUCUGCCAGGAUACUCUACCAUUUGGCCCCACAGACUUCAAGCAUGCCUGAAGAUACAUGCCAAUUGGUUGUUGGUUUUUGAAAAUCCUGAUCUCUGCUGAGUUACCCAACUGGACUCAGAAGGGUCUGACCCACGUGCCACAUUCCAGCUGUUUGCUUGUUUGUUUUUAAUCUCAACCUGGUUUAAAGGGAAGAAGGCUAACUAAAUGCGGAAGCCAUCUUGUUUUCCACAUCACUGGCUCUAGCAUGCUAUAGAAGAUCACCAUGACAACAGGAGCUGGUUUGCCUGGUGUGAAGACAACAGUGUAGGCCUCAUUUCCUAGAUGCAUGUUUCUACUGAAGUUGAUUCACCAAUUAAAAGACUCUUUUCUCUCCUUGGGGGCUUCAGAGAUGCAAAUGGUGUUGGAAAAGCUGGCUGGUCAUCUGCUACACCUAGUAACUCCUCUUGAUUAUCUAAAAAUGAAAUUACUCUUGUUUAAUUUUUUUUUAAACUAGGUAUUUCUGAUUCACACUGAGCUGGGAGUUAAUACUCAAAUUGAGAAUACUUGCUUGAAAUUGUGAACUGCUAUCCCUGUUAUAACUUGCGAUUACUCUUUAAGUCCUUUAAAAAAGAUUAUUCUGAAUGUGUUUUUAAGCAUCCUCUUAUCACAUUAUGAGAUAUACAGUAAUGCAUUGUUAACUCUUCAUGUCAUUCAUUAUGUGAAUAAGAAACAUAGAAUGUAAUGAUGAAAAUUAACACAGAUUGUUAAAAAAUAUAUUAAAAAUAUGUGAUGAUGACACAAAAGUAAAAUUUAAAUGUUAGUCUGAAUAUAUUCCUACAGAAUAUCUUUCUGAUUUAAAGCAAGAAAAUAUAAAGCAAGUAUUAAGACCCAGAUUCACAAAGAAGAAUUUUCUUGACAUUCGGGAGCUCAAAUUACAAAUGCCAUUAAUGAGUUUUUAUUUAAAAUAAAGAAUUGUAUAUCUAGUUUAGGGACAAAUUAAGAAACUAAAAACUUUAACACAAGUAUUUUAGAAUAAAUAUACCAAUUUUAAACUG